GUGCACCAGGCGCGAAUUUUGACAAUGGGGGAAACCCUGAUCGAGCGACGCCGCGUGGAGGAUGAAGGUCUUCGGAUUGUAAACUCCUGUCAUUGGGGAACAAGGUGCAUACGUUAACUGCGUGUGUAUUGAUAGUACCCGAAGAGGAAGGGACGGCUAACUCUGUGCCAGCAGCCGCGGUAAUACAGAGGUCCCAAGCGUUGUUCGGAUUCAUUGGGCGUAAAGGGUGCGUAGGCGGCGCGGUAAGUCGGGUGUGAAAUCUCGGAGCUUAACUCCGAAACUGCAUUCGAUACUGCCGUGCUUGAGGACUGGAGAGGAGACUGGAAUUUACGGUGUAGCGGUGAAAUGCGUAGAUAUCGUAAGGAAGACCAGUGGCGAAGCGGGUCUCUGGACAGUUCCUGACGCUGAGGCACGAAGGCCAGGGGAGCAAACGGGAUUAGAUACCCGCGUAGU
rnacentral:rRNA from 1 species